AACUCACAGUCAGUGAUUUCAGCUGUUGCCCCAUGUUUCCCCAAAAAGCUUUAUUAUUCAGCUCCUCUUCAGUUCAGGUCCAGCCCUUCUUUCUCAGCUCUUUCCCAUGAUUUCACCUUUUGCUCCCCGAUUUCCUCUCCUAAAUCUGGUGUCUUAGCUUGUACCCAAGUAUUCCAGCUCUUGCCCAUUUCCCCAGAAAAAUUAAAAAAAAAAAAAAAAACACAACUCACAGUCAGUGAUUUCAGCUGUUGCCCCAUGUUUCCCCAAAACAGCUUUAUUAUUCAGCUCCUCUUCAGCUCAGGUCCAGCUCUUCUUCCUCAGCCUCCUCCCAGGGUGUUCAGCUUUUGCCCCAAGUUUCCCCCCAAAGGUUAAAAACUCAACUCACAGUCAGUGAUUUCAGCUGUUGCCCCAUGUUUCCCCCAAAAGCUUUAUUAUUCAGCUCCUCUUCAGCUCAGGUCCAGCUCUUCUUCCUCAGCCUCCUCCCAGGGUGUUCAGCUUUUGCCCCAAGUUUCCCCCCAAAGGUUAAAAACUCAACUCACAGUCAGUGAUUUCAGCUGUUGCCCCAUGUUUCCCCAAAAAGCUUUAUUAUUCAGCUCCUCUUCAGCUCAG